UACGGGGGGUGCGAGCGUUGUCCGGAAUCACCGGGCGUAAAGGGCGCGUAGGUGGUCUUGUAAGUCUGUGGUGAAAGCCCGGGGCUCGACCCCGGGUCUGCCGUGGAUACUGCGAGACUUGAGUGCUGUAGAGGCAGGUAGAAUAUCGGGUGUAGCGGUGGAAUGCGUAGAGAUCCGAUAGAAGACCGGUGGCGAAGGCGGCCUGCUGGGCAGUAACUGACACUGAGGCGCGACAGCGUGGGGAGCAAACAGG
rnacentral:rRNA from 1 species